GGUGGACGCGGCGGGAGGAGCCCGCACGAAGCCGUGUGCCCGGCCGGGCGGCCUGUGAGAAGCGCUGAGUCAUGGCAGGAGAUCAGCCCAGCGGACGUGCGAGGAGGAGGAGGAGAAGAAGGAGGAAGAGCUGGGCGCUGGCGGUGCGGCAGGGACUUGGGAGCAGUCUUUGGGAAGCUUGCUCUGCAGGACCAUCCUGGACACCAGCCAUGCCCAAGGGCCUGAGGCAGGAGGGAAUCAACCUUGACCUAGAAAGCCUAACCUGCGUGGAACUGGGAGAAAGGGAGAACAGGAGAGCAUGAGCCGACACCGUUUUUUGUGGGUAAGGAAUCCAGAGGCAUCUUUGCUGGAUACCCUGGCUCAGAGACUCUCUUAAGGAUGAAGUCAACAAGGGCUGCCUUCAUCUCAAGACUUGGAAAUGGAUACAUCUCAAAAUCUUACCACCAACUACUUCCAAGUGGCUGGAAUGGAGAAAAAAAAAUGGACAAUAAUGUCAUCAGGGACACAUUUCUUAAUAUGCCAUUUGUUAAAUAUGGGAGUUUUCUACCUCAGGCUCUAGGAAACUGAUACAUAAAGAGCCUUCUUGUUGAAGCAGAAUGGAAGGCAGUUUCCUGGACAAGGAAAACAUCUAUUGAAAAUGUGAAUCUUUGAAUGAAAGAUAAUGUCCAUCUAUAGAACAGGAUUUUCCACUGUGACACACACACCAGCUACAAAAGUUAAAAAAUGAAGUCACAGAAAAAGUCCCUCCAAUUACCACAGUAGAAAGCAAUAUCCUUUUUAAGACAGUUCAAAAUAAUAAAAACUUGCCUCAAUGUUUUAUUUUAAUAUAAAAUGUAUAUAUGUAUAUGAUUUGUUUGCCCUUAUUAAAAGCUGUUUUUUGGAAUCUGCUGAUUUCAGGACUUCCUUAACCACUUUUUUUGUAUUAAUGAUAUGUAGAAGGCAUUUGCUGUAACAUCCACUUUCAGUUUCAUUAAAGUAGAAGUAGAACAAGAAUUUAAGAUAGGAGAUCAUGGUGCAGAGUUCUAAUUUUUUAAAAUUCUACUAACUGUUGCCAAAGGAUUCAAUUGUUUUCAUAGAAACAAUAACCUUUUUACUUUUGACAUUCAUAUUUAUGUUUGCAUUAAAUUAAUUUAAAUUACAUAAUUACAAUAACAAGUUGGACUGGCAUGAACAAGUUUAGUAAUCAGCACAUUAACUCUUAAGUUUGCCAUUCAGCAUGUAGGGACAGUAGGGCAGGGUUCAUAUAUGAACAGUCUUCUGGCCAUGAGUAUUUGUCAAGUCAUGAGUUUGUGUGCCUUUUACAAGGACAGUGGAGAGCACCUGUUAACCUGCAAAAUCACUGAUGUGGAGGUAUCUAAAUAUCUGUCUAUUAUGGACUGAAUGAUAUGCUCCCUCAAAAUUCACAUGUUAUUAGAAGUGUACUUUCUCAAUUUUGAAGGUGCAAGAUUUUGUGAUGCAGAUUUCCCAGGAGAAUCAGUGUUCUGAUAGACUAUUUCAAACAAUAUGCAUGUACAGAAGAUUAAGUUUUGUCAGACAAAUUUGCAAUUGGAAAAUAUACUUUUCAAACAAUCAUCUUACUAGAAAUUUAGUACUUACUAUGUGCCAAGAAGUGUGCUUAUCUGAGGACAUCAGAAUAAUCUGUCCUCAUUUUGAGGAGAAUCCUUCAUUUCUUUUUGUUUUUUUUUUUCAUACUGAGGAUUAAACCCAGGAGUACUUUACCACUGAGUUAUAUUCCCACCCCUUUUUAUUUUUAAUUUUGAGAUGGGGCCUCACUAAGUUCCUAAAGGUCUCCCUAAAUUGCUGAGGCUGGCUGUGAACUUGCAAUUGUCCUCCAUUAGCUUCCAGAGUAGCUGAAUUAUGUGUGCACCACUGUGCUUGGUAGAAUCCUUCAUUUCUAAGACAUAUUUUCUCUUUAAAAAGUUUUCACUUUUAAAGUACCUGUAAAAUAAUGAUGAAAUUUUUCCAGGUAUGAUGGUGUGCACCUCUUUUGGGCAGAAGGCCAAUGCAGGGGGAUCUCAAGUUCAAGGCCAGGCUGGGAAAUUUAGAGAGACCCCCAUCUCAAAAUAAAAAAUAAAAAGGGCCAUGAAUGUAGCUCAGGGAUAGAGUGCCCCAUUGCUCAGUCCUUAGUAUGACUAAAUAAAUAAAUACAUAAAUAUGUUGGUGAGUUUGAAAUGUGAAUGUAAUGAAUGGAGUAUGAAUGUAUUUUGAAAAUUUGAAGUAUUCUAGCAUGUUGAAUAGUUGUUAAUCUUUUUAGAAUGAAUAAAUCUUUUUAGAAUGAAUACUUAUAUAUACAGAUAUUCAAAACUAUCAGAUUAUAUCUUCCUAUUUGGAUAUGGGAAAUGUACAAGGAUAUUAUUUUCUAGUUGUACCCAAAUAAAUGUAUGAUUGCAAUUGUAGUUAAGCCAUCACCAUUAUUUAUCAUUAUUUAAUCUCAUAGUACUUUUUGAAUAUAUAGGUUAACAUUUGAUUUUAUAUAGAUUAUACUGUAUCUUCUAUGUCUCUUGAAAAAAUAAGUAAAAUAAGUAUUUUAAGUAAAAAGUUAUAUCCAAGGAAAUUGGAUUCCAUUAUAGGAAUUGGAAACCCAUUUAUAGUGAAUACUAUUUCCUUCAAUGGUUGUGUUUAAUUUUGAAAUCCAUUAUCUUUGAGUCUUUAAUACUUUGUUCAUUUUCUUAUAUAACAAAUACUAUUGAGUGAUAUAUGGGAAUGCUAUCUAUCAUCAACCAACCAAUUUUAGCCUUACAACUAAAAUGAAAUCUUCAAAAAACUCAUACAUUGAAGUGCUAACAUCCAGUGUAGCUAUAAUUGGAGUAAAGAAGUAAUUAAAAUUAAAUGAAAUUGUAAGGGUGGGGUCCUGAGCCUGCUGGAUUAGUGUUCUUAUAAGAAAAAUCCAGAAGAGCUGGCUCUGUCAUACCAGGAUAGAACACAGCUAUAAGGCAAUAGUCUGCAAGUCAGGAAGAGAGCUUUCUCCAGAAACCUACCCUGCUGGACCUGAUCAGAGGUUUCUAGUCUCCAGAACAUAGUUCUGCUAUUUAAACCAUCUGGUCUAAGGAAUUUUUCUAUGGCAGCCCAAAUAGACUAAUGCACUAUCCUUUUAUCCCUAGUAUUUAAUACUAUUCCUUUGUAUAAUAUCUUGGGUUCUGAGGAACAAUUAAUAGCAAAAGACAGUUGGGAAAUACAAAAUUAUUCAAUGUGUGGAAAACUGACUUAAAAGUAUAGAACAUAAGUUAAUAGAUCCUGAUAAGUACCACAUUUUAAUUUUAAUUCAUGCAAAUAUUGAAAUGUUUUAGACAUCUAAUUCUAGUAACUAGUUACUAUAUACUCGGCUCCUGAGUCUAUGACUAAAAAAUAAUCUUUGAUAGUCUACCAUAGGCUAGACAGCUUUCCUUUUGUAACAUCUGUAAACAAGAGUCUCAUGGUAUUACUAUAACUAUGCUUUAAAAUGAGGAAACACAAAUAAGGAGCAAGACAAAAAUAUGACUAUUAUUUUUCUUUCUACUGGAAGUUUCACUCAGUAUAAGACCUGAGAAAAAUAGAGAUGUUAAGAAUUAGAAAAUCUUACAAUUGUCAUCAUUUUUAAUUUCUGUUUUUCUACAUUAAAAUAUCCAGGGGAAUCAACAGAUAAUGGUUGUGCAAACCAACUGUAUUCUUUUUUUAAAAUAUUUUUUAGUGUUGACGGACCUUCAUUUUAUUCAUUUAUUUAUAUGUGGUGCUGAGAAUUGAACCCAGUGCCUCACAUGUGUGAGGCAAGCACUCCACACCACUGAGCCACAACCCCAGCCCCCCAACUGUAUUCUUAAAAACCAGCAACAAAUAGUCCAAAAGUAUAACUUUUGAAGAUAUCAUUAAUGUAUAAUAGCAGUAAAGCAUACCACUAGAAUAAAUAUUUUAGAAUGGUGAAAUAUUUUUAUAAAGAAAAAUAUGAAACUUUAAAAAAGACAAUAAGGAAACUAAUGUUGAUGAAUGGCAAGUCUCAGUAACAAAGAUAUGAGUUUUCCUGAAAUCCAAAAAUCCAACAGGCAUUUUUGAUGAAAGUUAAUGAAUCUACCCUAAGUCCAUAUGAAUGAGCAAAUAGCCAGCAAUUGCCAAAAUAAUUCUGAAGACCAACAAGAGACUCAUUCUCUUAGGUAUCUUGUAUCUUGUAUCCUGAAACUAUAGUGAUUAGAACAAUGUGAUUUAAAACAGCAUGACUCCACAGGGAUAGACAAAUAAAUUGAUGGAAGGCUUAGAAUGGGGUUCACCUAUAUAUGGAAACUUGUGAUGCAAUAGAGGAGGCAUAAAAAAUCACUGGGGAUGGGAUUCUGGAAUAGCUGACUGUCUACACUGAGAAAAAAAUAUUUUAAUCUCUAUUUCAUAUCAUUCCCCUCAAACAAAUUUGAGGGAAAUAAAAUUUAACUUUUUAUGUACACUAAAAGAUAUUAUAAUGAAAUGAAGACAUUCUAAACUGAAGGAAUUUAAUUAUAAUGUAUAUAAUUGAUAAAGGAUUAUUACUUAGGAGAUCUAAAAGUAGUCCUCCAAGUCAUUAAAAAAUAUUCUAAUAGAAAAAAAAGAUCAAAAGACAGGAUAGAAGUUCAUUGUGGAAGAAGAAACUUGAAUGAGUAAUAAAAAUAGGAAAAGAUUGGUAAUUGUGUUAGCUUUUCAUCGUUGUGAUCAGAAUGCCAGGAACAAGCUAUAGUCCCCAAGGGUAUGCUUCCAGAAAUCCACCUCCUCCAGCCAUACCCCACCAACCUGAAGUUAUCACUCAGUAGUCCUGUGAGGAGCCAAUCAGCUAGAUGUUGCUGGGGCCGCUGUGAGCCAAUCAUCAGCAAACUUCCAGCUGCCACCUGUCUCUGAAAUUUGCUGUAUUGUGGACCAAGCUUUCAAUACAUAAGCUUUUGGGAAUAUUACAGAUCCAAACCUUAACAGUAAUUAAGAAAUACAAAUUGAAAAUGAAAUUCCAUAUCACACCCAUUGGAUUGGCAAAAAUUAAAAAGUCUGACCAUUCCAAGUAUUGAAAGGAUGUGAAGAAACAGGACUAUCAGACACAGCUAGAAAGAGCAUUAUCCAUGAAAGCCACUUUGGAAAGCAAUUUAUUUAUUUUUUUUUAUUGGUUGUUCAAAACAUUACAAGGCUCUUGACAUAUCAUAUUUCAAACAUUAGUUUCAAGUGAGUUAUGAACUCCCAUUUUUACCCC